rnacentral:rRNA from 1 species
AGUGAACGCUGGCGGUAGGCCUACCCCUGCACGUCGAACGGCAGCACAGUAAGAGCUUGCUCUUACGGGUGGCGAGUGGCGGACGGGUGAGGAAUACAUCGGAAUCUACUUUUUCGUGGGGGAUAACGUAGGGAAACUUACGCUAAUACCGCAUACGACCUACGGGUGAAGGCAGGGGAUCUUCGGACCUUGCGCGAUUGAAUGAGCCGAUGUCGGAUUAGCUAGUUGGCGGGGUAAAGGCCCACCAAGGCGACGAUCCGUAGCUGGUCUGAGAGGAUGAUCAGCCACACUGGAACUGAGACACGGUCCAGACUCCUACGGGAGGCAGCAGUGGGGAAUAUUGGACAAUGGGCGCAAGCCUGAUCCAGCCAUACCGCGUGGGUGAAGAAGGCCUUCGGGUUGUAAAGCCCUUUUGUUGGGAAAGAAAAGCAGCAGGUUAAUACCCCGCUGUUCUGACGGUACCCAAAGAAUAAGCACCGGCUAACUUCGUG